GGAGAGGUGGCAGAGUUGGUCGAUCGCGUCUGACUUGAAAUCAGAUGGGCGUUUGCGCGUCCCGUGGGUUCGAAUCCCACCCUCUCCG
rnacentral:tRNA from 1 species